UAGAUGAGGGUAAUUUGGU
rnacentral:siRNA from 1 species